rnacentral:lncRNA from 1 species
GUUCCCACAGCUUUUUCAACAUUAAAAGAAACAAAAAAAAAUCUUUAUGCUCCUCCUGAUGUCUCAGCUGGACCUGAGGUGGGGGAUUUAAUUUUAUUUCAUGAAGUGUCAGUGUAAGCUGCUUCUCUAGGCUCUUUUGAGAGACUGGAGAGAGAGAUGUCUUCAGCACGGUUUUUUUCAUAGCCUGAGAUAGGAUAGUUAUUGUGGACAAGCAAGUGGAAUAAGUUACUCUCUGUGGGUGUCUGUUUCUCUCCUCAGGCUAUAGAAAGAAGCUAACAGGCUAACUUAGAUGACGUUUUUGCUUUUCAGGCAGAUAAACUUAGGAGAGGUGAAUCACAUACUGAAUAUAAGCCAAGGCAUCCUCUUGUUCUGUGUAUUUGCUUGUGCUUUAAGUGUAGCGAAAUAUUUGGUAUAGUCCAUCUGCACAGAGAUGUGUCUGCUAUCUUUUCAUAAAAGUAAAGGGAUACAUCCUCUUUUACAUAUUCAACUCUUUUUUUUUUUUUGGAAAACCAGACCAGAAAACCAGGCCAGAGAAAAGCCUCUUGGCAUUUGAGUGAGGUUGUGUACUCUAGAAAUACUGGAAAGUUUGCAUUUCGCUCCAGUAGUGCAUUUCAAGAGCUGAUAAAGGCUCCAGGUAUUGUAAUGAUCUUGAGCUUAUAUCGGACCACCUUUUCAUCUUAAGGUGAAGGUCAUGUUGCCAGCAGUGGAAGCCAGAUCUAAAGAAUGGAGACAAGUGCCAUGUUGUACGGAUUUCAGAUUCCACUGGAAGUCAGGAAGUGAACCCCUGAUCUGGAAUCUGUCAGACUACUCUUUGCCUAGAGAUGUUCAUACUCAGAAAUGCAGCGUUCUGCACUGUGUGGCAUUGGCCUGGCAAACAGUCGUGAACUCCUCUGCUCCAGGAGAAAAGUAUUCCAAAGCAGGAAAAACCCAGACGUUCUUCACUGAGCCUUGGGACAGCUGCUGGAAUAAGAAAAUGCAAAACAGUCAUUUGAACAGCAGAACCUCUGAACUCAGCAACUGGAAUUCCCAAUUACAGACAUGCUGCUGUUUCUCCUCCCUCAACACAGAUGUUUAGCUUGAUCACUCCCCCAACCCCAGUGAGACAAAUGCUGUGAAGGAUGCAGAGCUAUGCAUGCUCUGACAGCUACAUCAAAGGCCCGGCCCAGCCUGUGCCUCAGCCACCAGUCUGGAGGAAAUCAGAGACCCUCAUUAAAGUUUCAGAAAAACCUAACUGGUAUGAGGACGGCACUCAAAAAUGUGUUCAGGGGAAAACAAAUAUUGUUUUAACGCUAUUAAUAAUUGAUGAGUUGCCAGCAGAGAUCCUCAUAGCAUUAAGGGAAUUGAAAAUUAAAGGCACAAAGACACUACUUUAAGAAAACAUCUUGGUAAAUAAUUAAUAUGGAAUGAGCCUAUUGGAAUCUGAAGAGUGUAGCUUUUAGUUUAUGUUGUCAAACCUAUGCUUUCUAAUACCAGAGUUUCUUCCAGAAUGAGAGCGUGGUCAUUUUCAUUUUAUACGGACAAAAGCUCUCACUGUUCUGCCGCUCAGCUGAAAUCAUUUACUGGCUUCUGUAUCGGUUGUGUUGAGCCCCUACCAUCAACCUAAGCAGCACAGCUAAGCACCCAAAGAUUAUGGCUUUCUGAAAUCAAGAGGGGGAAAAAGACGGAUAAUUAUUUAGAAAACAGAAAAGAACAUAUUCGUGUGUCUGUCUUAGGGAAAUGACUGUUUGUCAGGGUCAGACUGGAUCAGAGGAAGAAACCCUGCCAAUGUGUGUUUAGCAAUAUGAGGUAUAAAUAGCUGUGAGAAGCAUCUUGGGAUGUGUAACACUCAGGAGCAAUGACUGCUUGAGUUUUUGUGUCUCUAGAGAGAUGUGUUUGCAAUGGUGAGGCCAGUUGUGGGGGCUGCACUGAAUAAAUAAUUCAGAGGCCGGCA